UACGUAGGGUGCAAGCGUUAAUCGGAAUUACUGGGCGUAAAGCGUGCGCAGGCGGUGAUGUAAGACAGAUGUGAAAUCCCCGGGCUCAACCUGGGAACUGCAUUUGUGACUGCAUCGCUGGAGUACGGCAGAGGGGGAUGGAAUUCCGCGUGUAGCAGUGAAAUGCGUAGAUAUGCGGAGGAACACCGAUGGCGAAGGCAAUCCCCUGGGCCUGUACUGACGCUCAUGCACGAAAGCGUGG
rnacentral:rRNA from 1 species